ACACUCUCAAAAUGAAUGUGUUAAAAUCAUACACAUUUUUUGUGUUACUAUAUUUUAACAUUUGUUAUGUUAUAUUUACACAUCCUGUGUUAUUAUCCUAGACACACUUUUGAGUUAAUGCUAUUUUAACACAUAAAAUAGUUAUCAUGUGAAUUAAACACAACAUGUGUUAGCCACUGCUAGGUCAAAGAGGUUAUUAAUGAGAACACCUGCCAGGGUUAUUUUUUACCAAGCAGUGGCUUUAUUAAUUGUCCUACUUUUGAAUAAUUCUGGAAUCAUCUUUUUUUAUAAAUUCUGUAACUUUUUUCUUUAUUUAUUUUUAAUUUUUUGAGAGGGAGGAAGCCCCUCAGCAGGGGAAUCAAACCUCCAAACACCCAGUCUCAGGGUGGACCACAAGGCCACUGAACUGGUAUCUGAGACCAGAUUCUUGAGUAGCACUGUGCCCUGAAGACAGGAGUAUACCUUUCCUCACACACAGACGUAUGGUUCUCUUAAUUGACUAUGGUUUGGGUUGUACUAUUUUAACUCAAUAAAAAUAAAAUAUUAAGUUCCAUUUAGGGGGGAAAUAAAUCCAAAUAUAUAAGUCCCAUUUCUGUAGGACCCCCAGCUGAUAUGUCCACUUUACUCAGACACCUGGAUGGUCCCUGGCUGGGUGACCCUGGGUCAUGGAAGCUUGUAGCUCUAAUUUAGGGGUGUGGAUUGGAGCAAUGCACUGAGAAAGUUGCCACAUGAACCAGCUCUGGAAAAAAAUCAUGCUGUGUAAUCCCUUCUUUGAUCCUCCUGGGGGCAGCACUCGCCACUGCCUUCGAUGGCUUUGAAAUGCAACAAUGGCAGCUGUGCUAACAGCUACAGGCUAAUAAUCAAGCUCGCUGAGGAGUUGGUCUGCACUCACAAAUGUGUGAGAGGCACAUUUACAUUUGCAACUCAAACUAGACGCCACGGGAGUAACGCCAUUGUAACCCGGCCCAGCGCACAGCCUCGAGCCGCAGGGGACGGUUGUUUGACAUGCCAUGUCUGUAUUUUAGGUGUUCCAUUGUUGCACUGAUGGUUUAAGAAUGAAAUGUUUACAAAAUGUUUAAUGCUUAUACUCUGUGUUUGCACUAUAUUUUGCUCUCAAGUUUGCACUAAAGUCUUACAAAGUCCAAGAUUUUGCACUGCUGCCUGAGCCAAAUAAAUUUUAUAAAAGUGACUUGAAAUUCAAGCAAUUGUUUAUUCUUUUUAGUGACCAGGUUUGGUAAUUUAGCAGAUAAUCGCAGUAGCUCAGGAGGUAAGAGCGGUCGUCCAAUAACUGGAAGGUUGGCGGUUUGAUUCCCCCCCUAUCCGAAGUCUGUCCAUUGUGUCCUUGGGCAAGACACUUAACCCACCUUGCUCCCGGUGUGUGUCCACCACUGGUGUAUGAUUGUGAGUGUUGUGUGGUGGUCGGAGAGGCCGUAGGUGCAAACUUGCAGCCACGUUUCCGUCAGUCUGCCCCAGGGCAGCUGUGACUACUAAGGUAGUUUACCACCACCAAAGUGUGACUGUGUGAGCGAAUGAAUGCUGUAUCCAAUGUAAAGCGCUUUGAGGGUCUCUGAUAAAGCGCUAUAUGAAAUCUGAUGCAUUAUUAUUAUUAUUUAUUUGACUGAAUAAGAUCUCCACUUCAUCCUUUUCCCCAGUUUUUUAUCCCUCCCACAUCUCCUUCUAUUCUAAACCCACUAUCAGUACUAUGACAAGUACUACAGCUAAUAUGACUACUACUAUCACUUCUAUCACUAUUCAUCUUACUACUACUACCACUAAAACUUCUACAACUCCUUACUCAAACCCUCCUGGGGAUCUUUUAGGUCCUAUCAGUUGUAUUUUUGCUGUCAUUUUCACCUUCAUUAUGCUGGUAUGACAAUAAUUUUUUAAGGUGUUAAUUUUUUUAAUGAAUUUCUAUUUCCCACAAUGUGUGGAUUAAGUUAACCACUGUGUUAACCACCUUUCCAUCGAGUGAAGUGUGAAAUUUCAGAGUGUCCCUGAACGCCUCAAACAUUUCUACCGGGACUCUGCCUUGGCUCGUGCUAUCCUGCUGCAUCUUACAGAAGGGUGAGUCAGAGCUGAGUCUCUGUCAACGUCUAAACAUUAAAAAUUGGGAUUUAACCUUUCAAGACGGCACUGGUUUGAGUUAUAAUCGAUGAAGAGUUCAUUCAUGAUUGAAGUGGUCAAGAUGUUGACUUGAAAAAGCUUACGCCAACAGCGUUAGCAUCGAGCUAGCGGCGUUAGCGGCGUUAGCGUCGUUAGCGUCGAGCUAACGAUAAAGCUAACAUACCGUCAUUUAUGGGGCAGUGUGACUGUAAGUGUGACUGUGUGAGCGAAUGAAUGAUGAUCCAAUGUAAAGCGCAAUGCAAUUUGUAAAUUGUAUGAAAAUAAAACACUUUUGUGUGAAGAAUACAUAACGCAGCUAUGUGUAAAUUGCAUGAAAAUAUGACACAGCUCUGUGUUAUCUUUGUGUAAACCCAACACAGUUGAUGUGUUGACACAUUUAACACACAACAUGUGUAAGAUCUGUCAACACAAAGUCAUGUGUCACAACAACACAUUGUGUGUUGUCCUUAACUAGACACACGGAUGUGUUAAGAAAUAACACAUGAUGAGUUACUUUUGACACAUUUGUUUUGAGAGUGUAC